AUUGAACGCUGGCGGCAGGCUUAACACAUGCAAGUCGAGCGGAGUGAUGGUGCUUGCACUAUCACUUAGCGGCGGACGGGUGAGUAAUGCUUAGGAAUCUGCCUAUUAGUGGGGGACAACAUCUCGAAAGGGAUGCUAAUACCGCAUACGUCCUACGGGAGAAAGCAGGGGAUCACUUGUGACCUUGCGCUAAUAGAUGAGCCUAAGUCGGAUUAGCUAGUUGGUGGGGUAAAGGCCUACCAAGUCGACGAGCUGUAGCGGGUCUGAGAGGAUAAACAGCCACACUGGGAACGAAGCACGGCCCAGACUCUUACGGGAGGCAGCAGGGGGGAAUAGUGGACAAGGGGGGGAACCCUGAUCCAGCCAUGCCGCGUGUGUGAAGAAGGCCUUAUGGUUGUAAAGCACUUGAAGCGAGGAGGAGGCUCUUUUGGUGAAUACCCAAGAUGAGUGGACGUUACUCGCAGAAUAAGCACCGGCUAACUCUGUGCCAGCCGCCGCGGUAA
rnacentral:rRNA from 1 species